UACAGAGGGGGCAAGCGUUGUUCGGAAUUACUGGGCGUAAAGGGCGCGUAGGCGGCCUUCUAAGUCGAACGUGAAAUCCCUGGACUUAACCCAGGAACUGCGUCCGAUACUGGAAGGCUUGAAUCCGGGAGAGGGAUGCGGAAUUCCAGGUGUAGCGGUGAAAUGCGUAGAUAUCUGGAGGAACACCGGUGGCGAAGGCGGCAUCCUGGACCGGCAUUGACGCUGAGGCGCGAAAGCCAGGGGAGCAAACGGG
rnacentral:rRNA from 1 species